rnacentral:tRNA from 1 species
GAGAGUAACAGCUCAGGGGUAGAGCACAUACUUAGCAUGUUUGAGGUUCUGGGUUCAAUACCCAGUACUUCCC